rnacentral:rRNA from 1 species
CAUAGCGACUAUCGUGGCAUAUCAAUAAGCGGAGGAAAAGAAACUAACAAGGAUUCCCCUAGUAACGGCGAGUGAAGCGGGAAGAGCUCAAAUUUGAAAUCUUAAAGGGUUUCCCUUUACGAAUUGUAGUUUAAAGAAGUGUUUUCUGUUGGAGUUUCGGUAAAAGUUCUUUGGAAUAGGACAUCAUAGAGGGUGAGAAUCCCGUAUUUGACCGUUACUUUCCAGCUGCGUGAUACACUUUCAAAGAGUCGGAUUGUUUGGGAAUGCAGUCCAAAAUGGGUGGUAAAUUUCAUCUAAAGCUAAAUAUUGGCGAGAGACCGAUAGCGAACAAGUACCGUGAGGGAAAGAUGAAAAGAACUUUGAAAAGAGAGUUAAACAGUACGUGAAAUUGUCAAAGGGGAAGCGUUUGACACCAGUGUUGUUUUCUCGAAAAUCAAUUACGAAUGUUUUAUUUUUGAGGAGUUAUGACUUCAUCGGCUUGCUCCUUUCUUUAUGAAACUUUCUUAAUGCACUUUUCGGUUAACAAGUCAACAUCAAUUUCUUUUGUUGUAAAAGGGUAUGAGGAAGGUGGCUUUCUUUUCGGAGAAAGUGUUUAUAGCCUUGUGCCUCUGCAAUCGGAGAGAUUGAGGUCUGCAGCGUAGAUCCUUCGGGGUUAGAUACAUUUGUGCUAAGCUAUAGCCUUGUAUAGACAACUUGUUGACUAUGCUCAGUCAUGUAGCUUACUCGCAUGUGCUAUUUUACCUACGCUUAGGAUGUUGACGAGACUGUCGAUCUCAUACAUGACUCUGUGCAUAUCAAUAAGCGGAGGAAAAGGAGUAUACCUACGCUUAGGAUGUUGACGAGACUGUCGAUCUC